rnacentral:other from 1 species
UUAAAGCUGCGUUGUACGUAGAAUAUUAAGUUUUAACCUUUAAGCUGUAAAAGGGAGUUUUAGAUCGAAGAUGGCAUGGCGAGCAUCACACUGCGGUGAAUGAUGAUACACAGAAAAUCUUUUGCAAACACCCACUUUGAGGAGUGGUGGUUAAAAACUUUCUAUAAUAAUUACGGCAGGGCGGCUACUCU